GAUGAAUUUUUCACACCAUAAUACCGUGAUGGAUGUAAAAUUUUAAGCUCAACAGGUCUGAAAUAUUUACAUAUAACAAAAAAAUAAUUGAUUUGAUCUUGUGUUGUAACCAUUUUUUGUAUUGUUACAGGUUACAACCUGGAAACAGUUGAACCAUUAUCUAAUAAGCCGGCCGUUUCAUGUUUUAAAGUGAAGAGGUGUGCUCGUUGUGGGAACAUUAAUUCUUUUCAUGUGUAUGGUUAUUCAGCGAUCCGCCUGUCUAACCAAAGGAAGAUUAGAUACACUAUUACUUAAGCUCUUCAUUAUUUAGUUACUUAUACCCAAUUUUACAGAUAAUUAGAAACGAUGAAGGCGCUCUUAGCUGAUAAUUAAACCAUGAAGGCGUCCUUUGGUUUAGAAUGUCAUGAGCUGGUUCCCAGGGAAAUUUUUAUUUUUGUAGUUAAAAAAAUGAAUAAAAGCGUAAGAGAACGAAUGCUUUUUAAUGUAACUAAUCCUAAACAUUAAAAUAAUACUACGAUAAUGUA